rnacentral:ncRNA from 2 species
UCGACCUCGCUGGGAGAAACCGGCCACCCGCUCGAAAGGGAUGGCCGGUGCCGAAGGAGCAACCGCCCCGGAAACUCUCAGGCAAAAGGACCAGCAAGGUGCC